ACUAAGAAGAGCUGAGGGCGGCAGCUGAAAGCUGAGGAGUUAAAGCUGCGAUGUUUCGUAUCAAGGGCCUCACGCUGAAGCUGGACCCAGAGGAGAUGAAACGGAAGAUGCGUAAGGAUGUGAUUUCCUCCAUACAGAACUUCCUCAUCUAUGUGGCCUUGCUGCGAGUUACUCCUUUUAUCUUAAAGAAAUUGGACAGCAUAUGAAGAUUGGGUAUCACAUGUGAAUGUGUGAUAUGACAAACCUGGUUACAGUUUCUACUCCUGUCUGCAAAUGAAUAGGCCCAGAAAGGUGUGAGAGACUUUGAUUGAGUGGACGUUAAUAUUCUGCUUGUUAAGAACAAGUUUGGCUCUGGUAAUUGACCUUCAUAGCUAAAAUAUAAAACUAUUUGGGAAUUAUGA